UCCCAUAUGGUCUAGUGGCUAGGAUGCCUGGCUUUCACCCAGGAGGCUCGGGUUCGAUUCCCGGUAUGGGAA
rnacentral:tRNA from 1 species